UUGUGAAAGAAUAAGUACAGUGCAGUGGCUGCAGACCGCCUCCUCCUUCAUAGUAAUGCAGCCUGUUUCUUGUAUGGGUUGUCCUAGGGAUACCGAAGACACCC
ensembl:snoRNA SNORA70 Small nucleolar RNA SNORA70